CCAUUCUCUCAUUCUCCUAUGGAAAACUAAUUUUCUUUCAUUUUCUUUCCUUGUUUUCUUUUCAUUUCUUUUCUCUUCUUGCUUCAUUCUUCUCCCAACUUCUUGUGCACCAAAGUUAUAACUUCUAACCCCAAUUUCUACCACAUAUAAACUCUAGGAGAAGAAGAAAGAAAAAGAGAGAAGGGAAGAAAAAGCUUGGUUUUGGUGAUUCAAGCAAGGAACGGUAAGAAUUCUUGUUUUUGGCUUGAGUAGUCUUUGAAAAUGAGUUAGUGACUUAGAGAAAUCUCUUGUGGCAGCAAAGAUUGGCUUGAUUGGAGAAAAAUUGAUAACAUGUAAGCCAAUAAACCCAUGGGUACAUGAAUGACUCAAAGUGGAAAAGGAAAACGGUAAGCUUAACACUACGUUUUAAAGCCUACGGUUAGUUGAAUAUUGUGGGAAAUUAUGGUUGUUGAAAGGAUCUACUUGCAUAAGCUAGUUGAAAAUUGUUAAGAUUGUAUGGCAUGUCAUUUGAAAGAAAUGAAAAAGGAAAAUUGUGGAUGGAGGAUUGAGAAACAAAGUAUUGAAAGUUAGAUAGAUAACGAUGCGUGUAAACUAGAAAAUAAUCGAGUGAAAGUGAGAAUGAUUGUUGCUGCCAUAUAUGUGGAUUAUGUGUGGAAAUAUAAGAUGGAUUUGGGUGAAAAUUAU
rnacentral:lncRNA from 1 species